rnacentral:rRNA from 1 species
GGGAAUCUUGCGCAAUGGGCGCAAGCCUGACGACGCAACGCCGCGUGGAGGAUGAAGAUUUUCGGAUCGUAAACUCCUGUCGAAUGGGACGAAUAGAUCUCGGGUGAACAAUCCGAGGUCCUGACGGUACCGUUAACGGAAACCCCGGCUAACUCCGUGCCAGCAGCCGCGGUAAUACGGGGGGGGUAAGCGUUGUUCGGAAUUACUGGGCGUAAAGGGCUCGUAGGCGGCCAACUAAGUCAGACGUGAAAUCCCUCAGCUUAACUGGGGAACUGCGUCUGAUACUGGAUGGCUUGGAUCCGGGAGAGGGAUGCGGAAUUCCAGGUGUAGCGGUGAAAUGCGUAGAUAUCUGGAGGAACACCGGUGGCGAAGGCGGCAUCCUGGACCGGCAUUGACGCUGAGGAGCGAAAGCCAGGGGAGCAAAC